AUGAACGCUAGCUACAGGCUUAACACAUGCAAGUCGAGGGGCAGCAUGGUCUUAGCUUGCUAAGGCCGAUGGCGACCGGCGCACGGGUGAGUAACACGUAUCCAACCUGCCGUCUACUCUUGGACAGCCUUCUGAAAGGAAGAUUAAUACAAGAUGGCAUCAUGAGUCCGCAUGUUCACAUGAUUAAAGGUAUUCCGGUAGACGAUGGGGAUGCGUUCCAUUAGAUAGUAGGCGGGGUAACGGCCCACCUAGUCUUCGAUGGAUAGGGGUUCUGAGAGGAAGGUCCCCCACAUUGGAACUGAGACACGGUCCAAACUCCUACGGGAGGCAGCAGUGAGGAAUAUUGGUCAAUGGGCGAGAGCCUGAACCAGCCAAGUAGCGUGAAGGAUGACUGCCCUAUGGGUUGUAAACUUCUUUUAUAAAGGAAUAAAGUCGGGUAUGGAUACCCGUUUGCAUGUACUUUAUGAAUAAGGAUCGGCUAACUCCGUGCCAGCAGCCGCGGUAAUACGGAGGAUCCGAGCGUUAUCCGGAUUUAUUGGGUUUAAAGGGAGCGUAGAUGGAUGUUUAAGUCAGUUGUGAAAGUUUGCGGCUCAACCGUAAAAUUGCAGUUGAUACUGGAUAUCUUGAGUGCAGUUGAGGCAGGCGGAAUUCGUGGUGUAGCGGUGAAAUGCUUAGAUAUCACGAAGAACUCCGAUUGCGAAGGCAGCCUGCUAAGCUGCAACUGACAUUGAGGCUCGAAAGUGUGGGUAUCAAACAGGAUUAGAUACCCUGGUAGUCCACACGGUAAACGAUGAAUACUCGCUGUUUGCGAUAUACUGCAAGCGGCCAAGCGAAAGCGUUAAGUAUUCCACCUGGGGAGUACGCCGGCAACGGUGAAACUCAAAGGAAUUGACGGGGGCCCGCACAAGCGGAGGAACAUGUGGUUUAAUUCGAUGAUACGCGAGGAACCUUACCCGGGCUUAAAUUGCAGAUGAAUUACGGUGAAAGCCGUAAGCCGCAAGGCAUCUGUGAAGGUGCUGCAUGGUUGUCGUCAGCUCGUGCCGUGAGGUGUCGGCUUAAGUGCCAUAACGAGCGCAACCCUUGUUGUCAGUUACUAACAGGUUCCGCUGAGGACUCUGACAAGACUGCCAUCGUAAGAUGUGAGGAAGGUGGGGAUGACGUCAAAUCAGCACGGCCCUUACGUCCGGGGCUACACACGUGUUACAAUGGGGGGUACAGAGGGCCGCUACCACGCGAGUGGAUGCCAAUCCCCAAAACCUCUCUCAGUUCGGACUGGAGUCUGCAACCCGACUCCACGAAGCUGGAUUCGCUAGUAAUCGCGCAUCAGCCACGGCGCGGUGAAUACGUUCCCGGGCCUUGUACACACCGCCCGUCACACCAUGAGAGUUGGAGAUACCCGAAGCCUGUGAGCUAACUUUUAGAGGCAGCAGUCGAAGGUAGAGCCAAUGAUUGGGGUG
rnacentral:rRNA from 1 species